AAAAAAAAAGAAACCAACGUUUCGGGAAGUGGCCACUACCUCGCAGUCACGUGAUGCCAAAAUGCAACUGACACUGAUCCGGAGAUGGUCCUCCAUCCUUGGGAUUAGUGUUAAUUUGUGUUUUUUUUAUUUGAAUAGUUCAUGUGAUGUGACGUAGUGGAACAUUCCUGGCGUUCCUAACAACAAAAAGUGAC
rnacentral:precursor_RNA from 15 species